rnacentral:rRNA from 1 species
UAGGGAAUCUUCGGCAAUGGACGAAAGUCUGACCGAGCAACGCCGCGUGAGUGAAGAAGGUUUUCGGAUCGUAAAACUCUGUUGUUAGAGAAGAACAAGGACGUUAGUAACUGAACGUCCCCUGACGGUAUCUAACCAGAAAGCCACGGCUAACUACGUGCCAGCAGCCGCGGUAAUACGUAGGUGGCAAGCGUUGUCCGGAUUUAUUUGGCGUAAAGCGAGCGCAGGCGGUUUCUUAAGUCUGAUGUGAAAGCCCCCGGCUCAACCGGGGAGGGUCAUUGGAAACUGAGAGACUUGAGUGCAGAAGAGGAGAGUGGAAUUCCAUGUGUAGCGGAGAAAUGCGUAGAUAUAUGGAGGAACACCAGUGGCGAAGGCGGCUCUCUGGUCUGUAACUGACUCUGAGGCUCGAAAGCGUGGGGAGCAAACAGG